rnacentral:miRNA from 1 species
UGACCAAGACCCACAGAUUCC